GCUCGAGCAGCGGCCGGAGCUCGCCGCGGCGGCGCUCGCGUCGCUGCCGGGCGCGCCGGACGAUUCGGAUUCGGCGCGCGAGCU
rnacentral:tRNA from 1 species